UACGAAGGGGGCUAGCGUUGCUCGGAAUCACUGGGCGUAAAGGCGCGUAGGCGGCCUGAUCAGUCGGGGGUGAAAGCCUGUGGCUCAACCACAGAAUGGCCUUCGAUACUGUCGGGCUUGAGACCGGAAGAGGUAAGUGGAACUGCGAGUGUAGAGGUGAAAUUCGUAGAUAUUCGCAAGAACACCAGUGGCGAAGGCGGCUUACUGGUCCGGAUCUGACGCUGAGGCGCGAAAGCGUGGGGAGCAACAGG
rnacentral:rRNA from 1 species